CAGAAGUCUGAGCCCAGGGUACCAGCAUGGUUGAGUUCUGAGGACAAACUUCCAGGUUUGUCCAGGUUGUGGCCUGCUGAUUUUUCACUGUAUCUUCAUAUGGAGAACAUGUAACUUCAGUCUAACCAUGAGAAAAACACAAGGCAAAGUCUGCUAGAGGAGUAUCCUACAAAAUACAUCACCAGUACUCUUCAAAACUGUCAUGGCCACCAAAACCCAGGAAAGUCCAGGAAAAUGUCGCAACCAGGAGAUACCUAAUGAGAUGUGAAAACAAAACAUAAUGUAUCCUGGAUGGGAUCCUAGGACAAAAAAAAAAAAAAAAAA